AUCUGCAUCAGUGGCCCAGCAAUCUCUCACUUCAGGUCCAGGUUUGUUUGUUAUAAAACAAGAAGGAAAAUAUCUACAUACUACUUUUCUGGCCUAAGAAGUAUUUUUCAUGGAAUUGAGCUCUUUGCUUUAGAAAUCAUGACUCGCUUGCAAACAAUGUGUCGAACAAAAGCAGUGCAAGUUCAGCUCAGUCAUUUCAGUAACCGCUUAUUUUUGGAAUGCUGCUCGGAACAUUUCAAGGAGAGAUUGCUCAAGCAAGACCUGUACACACAAUGCUGGCUUCCCAAGCAUUGGUCUUGAGAAUACUGCACCUUCAUUAGACAAUUAUUCCCUGGAGUAUGCACAUAAAGUUGUCUGUGCAAGAAACAUCUCAAUGGAAAAGUCCACCCCUGGAAUUUGGAAGAUCUAUCCUUGUGACUGUUGACGUGGGUGACCAUUUGGAACCAUCGUGAACACUUUGAGGGGCUCACACUGUCUAAAUUGGGAGGGUAUUUCUUGCCAGGCUUUUCCUCCUCAUCUGUCUGCACCUCAGUUUCAGCUGCUUUCAGAAAUACUUGUCUCUCUUUUUGAGAUUCUCCCUAGGGCCAUCCAAAGUAAAUUUUAGGGUUGCCACAUAUUUCAAAUCAGGCUUACUCCAGACAAACCUCCCAAAUUUGGUGAAAAUCAACUCAACCAUAGUUGCUCAGUAAUAGAAAACUAGAAACAUGAGUUAUAAAUUUAUUUUCAUUAAUAAAUAAGAACAACAACAACAUAAAUUUACCUUAACAACAGGUAACAGAGGACAACAAAAAGACAAAGAGAAACCUGAAAACAGAAGAGGACCAGGGUAGAAGGGGAGGCAGCUAUGGCAAUCAUGUGAGAAAUGCUCAGGCCCUAAAGGACAGUGAUUUUGAUGGGUUUAUGUUCUUGUAACAGAUGAGCACAGCCCUUAGCAGGCAGCCAUUGCUGGCCUCAUUACUUUGCACCCUGUUACUAGGCAACAGGUCUCGCUCAGCGCCACAGUGGGCCCUGUCCACAAGCAACCAACUGUCAGUGAGUGACCGUUAGUUGUCCUGCUCAGCUAUUGGUCGGUGCUGCAGUGGGCCCUGUCAACAAGUAACUGUCAAUGAGGGACCAUUAAGGAAGUGAUUCAGGCAGGGGUCAGUGGUGUGGUGGUCAUCAGGUGGAGAGUGAGGUAAGAGGCAGAUUCAGGCCUUAUCUUGGAUGCCCUCCAGCUCACCCAGCCUUGGGCCAGUGGAUGAACUGGAGGGCCCAGGGAACAGACUGGGGACUACAUCCUGCAGGCCUUUGGGGCCCUCACUAAGGCCCUCCUCUAGCCUUGGCCUACGCCUCGAGGAGUGGUGAACCUCUUCCCCAUCCCUGUCUCUGUGACCUAGUAGCAAUGGCCGACUGCCUCAGUUGCAGUCCGUGAGACCUGGCCUCUCCCAUUUGGGUGGCCUGAGGAGACUGAGGGACGGCUGGGUUGGAUGCCUGACUCCCUCAGGGAUAACAGCUGAACAGGGUGUGGGAACCUGCCCCUGAAGGAGCUGCUUCCUCUUAACCAGGACUGGGACGUUGGAGGGGGAAAGUUGGGCCUUGGGCCUUUGCCCUUUCCUGUCAGGACACAGAAUAACAGUUAGAGACUUGCAGGAACAUCGUUACCUGACCAUGACCCAACCUCAAGAGCAAAGGAUCUGACACCAAGAAGUUUGCAACAACUAACCACACGCCUCCCUUAGCUUCUGCUUUUAA